GAUGAACGCUGGCGGCGUGCCUAAUACAUGCAAGUCGAGCGAACGGACGAGAAGCUUGCUUCUCUGAUGUUAGCGGCGGACGGGUGAGUAACACGUGGAUAACCUACCUAUAAGACUGGGAUAACUUCGGGAAACCGGAGCUAAUACCGGAUAAUAUUUUGAACCGCAUGGUUCAAAAGUGAAAGACGGUCUUGCUGUCACUUAUAGAUGGAUCCGCGCUGCAUUAGCUAGUUGGUAAGGUAACGGCUUACCAAGGCAACGAUGCAUAGCCGACCUGAGAGGGUGAUCGGCCACACUGGAACUGAGACACGGUCCAGACUCCUACGGGAGGCAGCAGUAGGGAAUCUUCCGCAAUGGGCGAAAGCCUGACGGAGCAACGCCGCGUGAGUGAUGAAGGUCUUCGGAUCGUAAAACUCUGUUAUUAGGGAAGAACACAUGUGUAAGUAACUGUGCACAUCUUGACGGUACCUAAUCAGAAAGCCACGGCUAACUACGUGCCAGCAGCCGCGGUAAUACGUAGGUGGCAAGCGUUAUCCGGAAUUAUUGGGCGUAAAGCGCGCGUAGGCGGUUUUUUAAGUCUGAUGUGAAAGCCCACGGCUCAACCGUGGAGGGUCAUUGGAAACUGGAAAACUUGAGUGCAGAAGAGGAAAGUGGAAUUCCAUGUGUAGCGGUGAAAUGCGCAGAGAUAUGGAGGAACACCAGUGGCGAAGGCGACUUUCUGGUCUGUAACUGACGCUGAUGUGCGAAAGCGUGGGGAUCAAACAGGAUUAGAUACCCUGGUAGUCCACGCCGUAAACGAUGAGUGCUAAGUGUUAGGGGGUUUCCGCCCCUUAGUGCUGCAGCUAACGCAUUAAGCACUCCGCCUGGGGAGUACGACCGCAAGGUUGAAACUCAAAGGAAUUGACGGGGACCCGCACAAGCGGUGGAGCAUGUGGUUUAAUUCGAAGCAACGCGAAGAACCUUACCAAAUCUUGACAUCCUUUGACAACUCUAGAGAUAGAGCCUUCCCCUUCGGGGGACAAAGUGACAGGUGGUGCAUGGUUGUCGUCAGCUCGUGUCGUGAGAUGUUGGGUUAAGUCCCGCAACGAGCGCAACCCUUAAGCUUAGUUGCCAUCAUUAAGUUGGGCACUCUAAGUUGACUGCCGGUGACAAACCGGAGGAAGGUGGGGAUGACGUCAAAUCAUCAUGCCCCUUAUGAUUUGGGCUACACACGUGCUACAAUGGACAAUACAAAGGGCAGCGAAACCGCGAGGUCAAGCAAAUCCCAUAAAGUUGUUCUCAGUUCGGAUUGUAGUCUGCAACUCGACUACAUGAAGCUGGAAUCGCUAGUAAUCGUAGAUCAGCAUGCUACGGUGAAUACGUUCUCGGGUCU
rnacentral:rRNA from 1 species